ensembl:snRNA U6 U6 spliceosomal RNA
GUGCUUGCUUCAGCAGCACAUAUGCUAAAACUGGAACAAUACAGAGAAGAUUAGCAUGGCCCCUGAACAAGGAUGACGUGAAAUUCAUGAAGUGUUCCACAUUUUU